GAUUGGACUCACCGAGCCCUAAACAAACAGCGCUAGCCGAAGGGUGCCAGGCUGUGGGUCGGAACUGCUCUCUACAAGCUGCUGGGUGCGGAGCUCACAAAAGGGAUUUCUUUCGACAAGCUGGACAUUGGAAGAAGGCUGCGAGAAGGGAAUUGAACAUGAGAAACACUCUUGUGGGAGUGGAUUCUUACAGGAACACCCCAGUCACUGUGGCUUCAGCGUGGCUGCAUUUAUGAAAGGCUGGAAGUAGAAAACUCUGGAAUGGAGAGACUAGCAGCUGGAACAGGAUUCGAAGGCUUUAAAUUUUAACCCGAGUUCGAUCGAAAGUUACUACCACAAGAGACUGGCACGGGCCGGCCCAAUUCCCACCACGGCUUCCAGCGGCUUGCUUUGGGUUGUCCGCUAGGCGUCGAAGACUAGAGAACACACUGACCCUGGCGCCUCUGGGACAGAGGUGAGGAGUUCGACCCAAACGAACAGAUUCGACAACAUUCGGACUCUAGAGGCUGGGGAAGAAACCCAUAAUUUUACCGUCCUCAUUCCCAAUCAUUUUAGUAGUGCCUCCAACCACAAGAAAACCGAUAGAUCAUUGUUUUUCCUUUCAGGGCUCAAAAUUCACCUUUAAACUUUUUUUAAAGACUAGCUUAACGAAAGAGGAAUAGGUUAGAGAAAUAUUUUUUUUUCCAUCUCAGUUAAUGUAAAAAUAAAACCUGUCCGGUUGACUAAG
ensembl:lincRNA 1010001N08Rik RIKEN cDNA 1010001N08 gene